GUCUUCCUUCUGCAGCACAUGUACUGAAAUUGGAAUGAUACAGAGUAGAUUAGCAUGGCCCCUGCACAAGGAUGAGAGGCAAAUUUGUGACGUGUUUCCAUGCCUG
ensembl:snRNA U6 U6 spliceosomal RNA